rnacentral:rRNA from 1 species
AUUGAACGCUGGCGGCAGGCCUACCACAUGCAAGUCGAACGCGUGGCGGACGGGUGAGUAAUGUCUGGGAAACUGCCCGAUGGAGGGGGAUAACUACUGGAAACGGUAGCUAAUACCGCAUACCAUCGGAUGUGCCCAGGUGGGAUUCGCUAGUAGGUGGGGUAACGGCUCACCUAGGCGAAGAUCCCUAGCUGGUCUGAGAGGAUGACCGUCCACACUGGAACUGAGAAACGGUCCAGACUCGUACGGUAGGCAGCAGUGGGGAAUAUUGCACAAUGGGCGCAAGCCUGAUGCAGCCAUGCCGCGUGUGUGAAGAAGGCCGUAGGGUUGUAAAGUACUUUCAGCAAGGAGGCGUUACUCGCAGAAGAAGCACCGGCUAACUCCGUGCCAGCAGCCGCGGUAAUUC